rnacentral:rRNA from 1 species
UACGUAGGGUGCAAGCGUUAAUCGGAAUUACUGGGCGUAAAGCGUGCGCAGGCGGUUUUGUAAGUCAGAUGUGAAAAUCCCCGGGCUUAACCUGGGAACUGCGUUUGAAACUACAAGGCUAGAGUGUGGCAGAGGGGGGUGGAAUUCCACGUGUAGCAGUGAAAUGCGUAGAGAUGUGGAGGAACACCGAUGGCGAAGGCAGCCCCCUGGGAUAACACUGACGCUCAUGCACGAAAGCGUGGGGAGCAAACAGG